AUUAUUUCGUGUUGUUCUUCAAUCCUAUGCAUACUCAACCUUUACAACANAGAAUUAGACUUUAGAAGACCAGANUACUGNCUGGAAAUGUCAUUUACAAGGCCUGUACAACUUACAGUACAUUGUUUACAGUUCUUGGUGACGUUUCUNGUUCAUAUGAAUCUUCAUCUACUGGUGUAUUCAAGCCCUUCAUGUUCUAGCGGUUUAGAAUACGAUUGCAAGUCUCUACAAGGCAAUGGUACCGCUUGUNUUUGGGGUUGUAAUACAACUGUAACAAAACAUCUUUCCCCAGGANAUUGCUUAGAUGACUGCUGCAAAUAUUGCUUCUCCAAUUGCCAAGAAUGUUUUUAUGUCAANAUUCUACGUUUUUGUAUUCAUGGUUCUACCAACUCUUCAUUUGCAAAACAUCUUUUGGACAAAACAUUCAAGCNAUCACAAACCCUGGAUCAGGUCAUAAGAACUUCAGUAUUGAAUGUUUUGUCUUCAAUUAACCAAACCUUCAAGACUGAGCUACUUCAAUCUAAAUGGUAUUCUAAAAGCUAUAACAUUAUUCAGGUGUAUGUUAGAAUCACCAGUAGAAAGAAAACUACAGAAACUGUAGCAAUAGAUAUUAUAAGAAAUGCAACGAAGACUGGCCAGUUGGGUGGAUUAACUGUGUCUCCUGAUGUUUUUGACGUAAUGACAGAAAAGGAUUAUGAUUUGUUAAUGAAUAAUGAAGGAGAAGAAGACAAUUUAGAUGUGGUUGAGCUGAUUGCAGCAUGCAUCGGAGCAUUAAUCAUCCUAGCUGCAAUUUGUUGGCGUUUGUUUUAUAUGUGUACAACACCACAUCANAGAAAUAGAUGCAAUCCCUGUGGUNGAAGAACCGGAAUAGAUGCAUGAAAAAUAUCUGGAAAUAUAUUNCUCAACACAGGUUAUCUCAGAACUGCUAAUGAGGUGAAAUCNAAUACAAGACUCCAAGAGAAANGAGAACCUAGAGAAAAACCCUCAAAUCAAGAGAAAGACCUAACCUAUACUCACUAAGGGAGAAUGGUACAACUUCGUGUCGUACUUCAAUGGGCUGGAAUUGGGCCAUCAGACUAAGAGUGAAAGCUGUCAAGUUGGUAUUGAACNAUGUGUUCAACUUGAUGUAGUCAUCUACUGACUUGCGUGGAAAGUACAAGACUCUCUUAUUUAGAACUGGUAGAGAGAGAAAACCAAUCAUUCCCAGUUUGUAAACCAAGUCACGUGGGUGUGUUUCAGNCUCAGAAGAACUCAGCUGGCAGUUGGCAGAGUUGGCAGGGUUUUGAUCAAAGUUGGUGGACACACANCUUGGUUCCAUNUAACANUGAAUACGACAUUGCUNAGGUGUUUCAACCGUCUUGUUUUCAAUGACAUGCCCAAUUAAGGCUUUGUCUGGGAUGGACUGAAAGUACNCUUGGUUACGACAACCACCUUGAUGCAUAACGCAACCUGCGAGUGUGAAUGAAAGAAAAUAUGACAUCACUAGGCAGGAUAUACUGAUGACCGCUACAAACAGACAAUGAGGUUUUGCCACAAAACCUACAACCAAGAAGCACUGGAAUGGAAAAGCCUCUUGAACCCAAACUAACUGAAAAAAAGCACCGAGAUGGAGUUGAGUAACUGCCAGAGACACCAAAACGCAGAAAGUAACUACAUGACAGUAUUGUACUAAGCUGUCCAAAGCACGUCAAUGAGUCGAAAACCAGGAGAGGUGGUCGACCUGAUGAAUGGCAGAAUAAUCAAGAAAAGAGAAUAAACCUGAGGCAGUAGAAGGAGGAAGAAGGAACGAGACGACAAAAAGAUUAUUAAAAAAAGAGAUGGUGCACUGACAAAGUAAACGAUUAAAUUUUUUAAAUGUGAAAAAAGUAAAAUGUCAGUGAAAAUAGAAAGAUGGAAAAGGGUAGAUCAUACUGAAAUAAAUGAAAAAAUGAAGAUGGCACUG
rnacentral:misc_RNA from 1 species